GUGGAGGCUGGUGGGCUCCACAUGCCUGUUGCACUGGUGGUGUGUGCCAAGUGCCGGAAUGGAAUGGGCCAGAGGGGUUUGGUCGGAGACAAGGGCAAGGGCCGGCGCACGUCUGCGGCCUGUGGCGGCGCUGCAGACGAGGUGGAUCGUGGGUAGCUGGCCGUCGGGGGAGUCGGCCGGCGGAUCCCCCACCGCAGGCAGGCGCACUCGAGGCACCUGAUUUCUGCUUUGGGAAAGAAGGGAUGUAGCAGCACGGCCACUACACCUUUAAUAAAGGAACCACUGCUUAAUAAUGUUGUUAAUCAGGGAGGGUCAAGUCUAGGGAAUUAUUAUGUUCUAGCCUUUCAUGGUAGUUGAGCUGAUUUUUUUGGGGGUGGGCUGAGUUACCUAUUUUUUUAAUUGGUCAUGAAUGUGCUUUACUACUUUUGCAUUUUGAUUAUACUACGUGAAUUAUCUGUCUUUUAUAUCCUAUAUGAACUCUAUGUGCCCCCCCUUGUUAUGCUUCUUUCAAGGGAGGUGCUGCCGGAUUUUGCAAUAUUUUCUCUCUUUAUUUCAUUUCUUGUGUUGCAUAAGUUUAGUGGAAAGGGUAUUUGGUAA